UACGAAGGGGGCUAGCGUUGUUCGGAAUUACUGGGCGUAAAGCGCACGUAGGCGGAUAUUUAAGUCAGGGGUGAAAUCCCGCAGCUCAACUGCGGAACUGCCUUUGAUACUGGAUAUCUUGAGUAUGGAAGAGGUGAGUGGAAUUCCGAGUGUAGAGGUGAAAUUCGUAGAUAUUCGGAGGAACACCAGUGGCGAAGGCGGCUCACUGGUCCAUAACUGACGCUGAGGUGCGAAAGCGUGGGGAGCAAACAGG
rnacentral:rRNA from 1 species